rnacentral:rRNA from 1 species
ACGGGAGGCAGCAGUGGGGAAUAUUGCACAAUGGGGGAAACCCUGAUGCAGCGAUGCCGCGUAGAGGAAGAAGGUUCUCGGAUUGUAAACCUCUGUCAACAGGGACGAAAAUGACGGUACCUGUGAAGGAAGCUCCGGCUAACUACGUGCCAGCAGCCGCGGUAAUACGUAGGGAGCAAGCGUUAUCCGGAAUUACUGGGUGUAAAGGGAGUGUAGGCGGGACUGUAAGUCAGAUGUGAAAUAUGCCGGCUCAACUGGCAGACUGCAUUUGAAACUGCGGUUCUUGAGUGAAGUAGAGGUAAGCGGAAUUCCUAGUGUAGCGGUGAAAUGCGUAGAUAUUAGGAGGAACAUCAGUGGCGAAGGCGGCUUACUGGGCUUUAACUGACGCUGAGGCUCGAAAGCGUGGGGAGCAAACAGGAUUAGAUACCCUGGUA